ACAAGCUUCUCCCCUUCUUAGAAAUACAGUGUACUCACCUUCUUCUCCAAAAAUCUAUCAGCAAAUCAAGAAGCUUUUAGUGGAAAAAAAUAUAGUGAUCAUCUGGCUCAGACCGUUGCUGCAAUUUUCAGGUCCUCCCAGGGCCAUGUGUUUGCAGUUUCCCAUGGGAAAGGAAGGCCAAAAGAAAAGAUCAAAUUAUCAUCCAGUAUAAACAAUUGAUGGCCUAUGAAAUUUUUUGCUGAUGACUUCAUGUUCCUUGGAGACUUUACUCCUUACUGUGAGGUAUUUCAAGAAGUUGAAAAAGGAAGUCGAGAAAGACCAAGAGCUGGAAUGAAGGAUCAAAUGAAGAUCCAUGAGCGCAUAGCAAUUUUCUACUUAAAGGCCACCCUGGUACGACUUGCAUAACAGAGAAAUGGAGAAAUAGACACAACAGAAAUAGAGAAUUCAGCCAUUUUCACAGGAAACAACCUAUGAUAAUAUGUUUGGAUCAACCCGCAGCAAAUCUCCUCAUAUACCCUCCUUUUCUCCUGAGAGAUGUCUCAUCAAUAAAUUGUUAUAGUUUGAUUUGGAGAUGCUUGCUUCCCCAAAAUAGUGUCUGGGAGGGAGCAAAGGUUUACUAUACUCAAAUGUACAUGUUAUAAAAUUCUUUCUUUUGUUUUGAAUUAUGUUAAAAUUUCUAUUUAGAUAUGGAAUUAUGCAUCAUUGAUGCAUUAGUAAACCCUAGGUAUUCUCUU